AAUAGAUACCCCGGUAGUCCACGCCGUAAACGAUGUCGACUUGGAGGUUGUUCCCUUGAGGAGUGGCUUCCGGAGCUAACGCGUUAAGUCGACCGCCUGGGGAGUACGGCCGCAAGGUUAAAACUCAAAUGAAUUGACGGGGGCCCGCACAAGCAGUGGAGCAUGUGGUUUAAUUCGAUGCAACGCGAAGAACCUUACCUACUCUUGACAUCCAGAGAACUUAGCAGAGAUGCUUUGGUGCCUUCGGGAACUCUGAGACAGGUGCUGCAUGGCUGUCGUCAGCUCGUGUUGUGAAAUGUUGGGUUAAGUCCCGCAACGAGCGCAACCCUUAUCCUUUGUUGCCAGCGGUUCGGCCGGGAACUCAAAGGAGACUGCCAGUGAUAAACUGGAGGAAGGUGGGGAUGACGUCAAGUCAUCAUGGCCCUUACGAGUAGGGCUACACACGUGCUACAAUGGCGUAUACAAAGAGAAGCGACCUCGCGAGAGCAAGCGGACCUCAUAAAGUACGUCGUAGUCCGGAUUGGAGUCUGC
rnacentral:rRNA from 1 species